rnacentral:lncRNA from 1 species
AUUAAUUCGUCAAUCGGGGUAAAAUAAUUUGUUUUGCGAUAUAACUGUGAAAUGACAAACUCAUGGUAGUAACAUAACAAAUUGAUCGAGCACUAUUACAAAGUUUCAACUGGUGUUGACAAAAACAAACUUGCGCAUGACUGAUUUAUUUGCGUGACGACUCUUCACAACCGUAUUUGACAAAUCCUCUUCGCGGUCAAUGUAGAAAUGACGAGUUUAAGUCGGCCAUAACGAAUUAUAUUACAAAUUAUUUGCUGAAAAACAAAUCAAUUUGUUGAGGCAAAAUGCAUGACAAAUUUAGCUCCUGAAGACAGUUCGGGACACCCCGCACAUAAUCAGCGUCUUCGAAUCACUCGCCGGUCGCCGUGAUUUUGCUGCGAAGCAAGGCUUGGGUAGAUCGUAAAAGUUUCUUGCAGAGUUUCGCAGGAUUCAUGGUGAGGACCUAAUCACACUGUUCAACCAAGGACUACAAAGACUGGCAGAACCCCUUUCUGGACUUCACAAAGAUAGAUGCAAAUGAGCCAAGAAAGAUGUGACAGUUUACUUCCCGGAAGCUAAGAAGAAAUUGCCAUACAGAUUCUACCAACCUUUUUCAAGGAAGACCUGGUGAUAUAUUCAUCUCAAGUGACAAGGUUGAUACGAAGCCCAUGUACAUACGUGUAUCCUGCAAUCAAGAGGAAUCAUAUGAGCUUGUUCUGGAGGAGCAAAGAGUCUGUCAAGUCCAGGAUAAAGUGCAUGCAUUGGCUUGUUAAGUAGCUGGUUUUAUUUUUCAUUCAGCCUAUGGCUAUGAGCCAUCAGUCAUGAAAAUUCGUGAGUUUUGCCAACUUGGAAUUCUUCAGGUGAAAGAUGCAUGUCCUGUUGAUAAAUCUGUUAUCAACCUUCUGAACAUGUUGAAGAAGAAAGUGCCCUCCAAACAAGGGAAGUAACUGAAGUCCGGCUGAAGUCAUGGAACAGCUGUUUUUAAGUUACAGAGCAUGUCCUUUAGGUUAAAAUUGUUACAAGUUUAAAGAUUGUAAGUACAUGUAUGUACAGUUGUAUUGAUAAAUUGUGAUUUUUUGAAAGAGAUUUGAAAAAGAAAGUUUAAAGUCACAUUCAGAGCACAGUAGAUGGAGAUGGCUCACACACUUGAUGAAGCAUAUUCUAUGGAAGCUCAAAAGUGCCACCGAGAUGUUGAGAAGUCGACAUCAUGGUAGCAAAAGAUCAAAUGACGAGAUCCUGGAUCUCAUCAUGUCCACAUCUUUCAGAAGAGAUGAUCAGCAGA